rnacentral:tRNA from 1 species
GCCCUUAUAGCUCAGCGGUAGAGCGCAUCCUUGGUAAGGAUGAGGUCAUCGGUUCAAAUCCGAUUAAGGGCUCCA